CAUAGCGACUAUCGUGGCAUAUCAAUAAGCGGAGGAAAAGAAACUAACAAGGAUUCCCUUAGUAACGGCGAGUGAAGCGGGAAGAGCUCAAAUUUGAAAUCUUCAAGGUUUUACCUUGACGAAUUGUAGUUUAAAGAAGUGUUUUCUGUUGAAGUUUUGGUAAAAGUUCUUUGGAAUAGGACAUCAUAGAGGGUGAGAAUCCCGUAUUUGACCAUUAUUUUCAGCUGUGUGAUACACUUUCAAAGAGUCGGAUUGUUUGGGAAUGCAGUCCAAAAUGGGUGGUAAAUUUCAUCUAAAGCUAAAUAUUGGCGAGAGACCGAUAGCGAACAAGUACCGUGAGGGAAAGAUGAAAAGAACUUUGAAAAGGAGAGUUAAACAGUACGUGAAAUUGUCAAAAGGGAAGCGUUUGACACCAGUGUUGUUUUCUCGAAAAUCAAGUUAAAAAUGGCGGGAUUUUGUGUUGUAUUGACUUUAUCAGCUUUCUGCACUUUUUUCCUUAUCUUUUUUAAUGCACUUUUCGUUUAACAAGUCAACAUCAAUUUCUUUUGUUGUAAAAGAGGUCAUUGGAAGGUGGCUUUUCUUUCGGAGAAAAGUGUUUAUAGCCUUUGGCCUUCUGCAAUCGGAGAGAUUGAGGUCUGCAGCGUAGAUCCUUCGGGGUUAGAUACAUUUGUGCUAAGCUAUAGUUCUUUAUAGACAACUUGUUGACUAUAAUCAAUCCUGUAACUUACUCGCUUAUGCUAUUUUACCUACGCUUAGGAUGUUGAAGAUAUGCGCGACACG
rnacentral:rRNA from 1 species